UAUUUACUUUCUCUAUUUUUGAUGCUAUUUCUUGAAUCUUUAUUAAAGAUUAUAUACUUUAUUUAGUUUAGUUUAGUUGUUUUAUUUGUAAUUCCUAAUGGAUUUUUUUUUUUUUUUUUUUUUUUUUUUUAGGCAUGUGAAGAACAUUAGGACUGAAAAGGAUGAGAGUGAUAUCAGGAAGAUUGUGUCUUCAAAAGUAAAGACCAUAGGAGAACCCAGAACCAGUGGAACUUGCUACUUAACUACUCUAAGUUGUGAGCUGCCAACUAUUACCAAGGCCACCUGUUUGCAUGAAUUGUGUUCAUAAAGUCAAACAUGUUGAAGAAGAUAGGAGGGAAAUAUUCUUGCUAUGGACUUCAUUGUGC
rnacentral:lncRNA from 1 species